rnacentral:rRNA from 1 species
CGUGCUUAACACAUGCAAGUCGAACGGAGCACCCUUGAUUGAGGUUUCGGCCAAAUGAUAGGAAUGCUUAGUGGCGGACUGGUGAGUAACGCGUGAGGAACCUGCCUCUCAGAGGGGGACAACAGUUGGAAACGACUGCUAAUACCGCAUGACACAUUCGGGCGGCAUCGCCUGGAUGUCAAAGAUUUUAUCGCUGAGAGAUGGCCUCGCGUCUGAUUAGCUAGUUGGUGAGGUAACGGCCCACCAAGGCGACGAUCAGUAGCCGGACUGAGAGGUUGACCGGCCACAUUGGGACUGAGAUACGGCCCAGACUCCUACGGGAGGCAGCAGUGGGGAAUAUUGGGCAAUGGACGCAAGUCUGACCCAGCAACGCCGCGUGAAGGAGGAAGGCUUUCGGGUUGUAAACUUCUUUUGUCAGGGAAGAGCAGAAGACGGUACCUGACGAAUAAGCCACGGCUAACUACGUGCCAGCAGCCGCGGUAAUACGUAGGUGGCAAGCGUUGUCCGGAUUUACUGGGUGUAAAGGGCGUGCAGCCGGGCCGGCAAGUCAGAUGUGAAAUCCACGGGCUUAACCCGUGAACUGCAUUUGAAACUGUUGGUCUUGAGUAUCGGAGAGGUAAUCGGAAUUCCCUGUGUAGCGGUGGAAUGCGUAGAUAUAAGGAAGAACACCAGUGGCGAAGGCGGAUUACUGGA